UACGAAGGGUGCAAACGUUGCUCGGAAUUAUUGGGCGUAAAGCGCACGUAGGCGGCUUGGCAAGUCGGAUGUGAAAUCCCUCGGCUCAACCAAGGAAGUGCAUCCGAAACUGCUGAGCUUGAGUACUUAAGAGGAUCGCGGAAUUCCCGGUGUAGAGGUGAAAUUCGUAGAUAUCUGGAGGAACACCGGUGGCGAAGGCGGCAUCCUGGACCAACACUGACACUGAGGAGCGAAAGCCAGGGGAGCAAACGGG
rnacentral:rRNA from 1 species